GUCACCAGUCACUGGGCCCUUUGGUGGUGACCUUCUCUGCAGCUGUGGUCUGGUCAGACUCAGCUUACCCAGCUGUGCAGCCUGUCCAGGCUGAGGCCAGGAUGUUCUGCUCCAAGAAAAUGAAAAGCUAUGUAUGGAUUCCUUCCAGACUAAUAUGGUUUGAUCAAGCAAGACCCCAUGAAGCUGAGAUGAUACAGCCUUACAGACUACAAAAACAAGGACUUGGGUCAGAUUUCUGUAUUUUAUCUUAACCCCUAUGACAUGAACAUUGCCCCUAAUCAGCAGGAAGCAGUUUAGAAGGAACAACGCCCAUAUUCCCAAAUAUUUUUUGUAAAUGUUUGUUUUCAUUUAAAUGGGGUUGGUUACAAAUGAUAAUGAGCAUAGUCAAUCUCUUUUUAAGGAACAAAAAAAAACGAGGAAUAGGAUAUAGGAAUGAAUACUUUGCAUUGGUAUAGAUUUUCAUUUAUUGAUACAACUUUAAGGUCAAUUUUGUGAUAGGUAUAUGUUUAGGUAUUGUGUUUAUACAGAUCUUUUACCUAUAAUAGUCAGAAUUUAUAAUUAGGUUAGUUAAGUUUUCUAGAUAUAGAGAUGUGUUUGAGAUGGUUAGGUACUCUUCAAACUUUUCAAAGACCUACAGAAAUAUGGCAUUUAAAUGGUUUAGGGUUUUUCUUGGCAGUGAGACACAACUGCUCCUGGCACACCAAUUAUGUCAGAAAGGAGGAUGGGCAUCGAAGAAACUCAUUAUGGAGUUUGCUUUCAACAUGGCAAGAUUAGCCAUUUGGGCAAGAAACUGCUCUUGCCUGGACUGUUUGUUGCUGUAUAAACUGGACAUACAGGACCCACAAGAAAAUGACUACUGAACUUAUAAAACAAGACUGUACUGAAGGGUUCCUGUUGAAAUAGAGAAGUGUGCCAGACACACUGUGGCCUUAAAGGCUGAAGAUGGAUGCCCCAACGUUACAGAGGAACUUGGGUGACUGUCCAGGUAGCGAGAUGUCCUGUCAAUUCUAGAGUUUAUAUAUUUUCCUUCUGUGGUCUUUGAUAGAGUUGAAGAGAGAUA
rnacentral:lncRNA from 1 species